AGAGUUUGAUCCUGGCUUAGGAUGAACGCUAGCUACAGGCUUAACACAUGCAAGUCGAGGGGUAGCAGGGUAGCAAUACCGCUGACGACCGGCGCACGGGUGAGUAACACGUAUCCAACCUUCCCAUAACUCAGGGAUAGCCUUUCGAAAGAAAGAUUAAUACCUGAUAGUACUUUUUCAAGGCAUCUUGAGAAAGUUAAAGAUUUAUUGGUUAUGGAUGGGGAUGCGUUCCAUUAGAUAGUUGGUGAGGUAACGGCUCACCAAGUCUUCGAUGGAUAGGGGUUCUGAGAGGAAGGUCCCCACAUUGGUACUGAGACACGGACCAAACUCCUACGGGAGGCAGCAGUGAGGAAUAUUGGUCAAUGGGCGAGAGCCUGAACCAGCCAAGUAGCGUGAAGGAUGAAGGUCCUAUGGAUUGUAAACUUCUUUUAUAGUAGAAUAAAGUGAUCCACGUGUGGAUUUUUGUAUGUAUACUAUGAAUAAGGAUCGGCUAACUCCGUGCCAGCAGCCGC
rnacentral:rRNA from 1 species